UAAGAAAUGAUGAAAAGGUACAUGAUUAUAAGUAUGGCGAUGAUAAGAUUCAUUUUGUAUAUAAUUAUAAAAUUUGGAUUGAGUAUAAAACGCGUAAAGAUUCCCUUGCACUGUAUUGGCUAAGAAGUGAUCAAACUUCUGAUGGCACACAUCCCUUCCUAUUAACUAACAAUCAAUUUACAUAUGCUAGAGGCAUAUUUCCUUGCCAAGAUUCACCGCAGGUCAGAUUUACAUACACUGCUAAGAUUUCUGUACUUAAAGCAAUCACAGUUAUAGUGGGUGGACGUCAAUGUAAAAGUAUAAUAAAGGGAGACCAAGACCUUCACACUCACAUAUUUUAUGAA